UUCACCUUAUUUUUCACGACAACAAGGGCGGCGCCAUUUCGCUCAUUUUGUCAACGUUCUUCCGGCCGCAUAGACGAUGAGCAGCUGAGGCAGUGACUGAAGGCGACGCGUUAAAGCUUAAAAAGCUCACUCGAGCGCCUUUAUGUUUCUUUCUUACCAAUUUUAAGCCAACUGAGGAAUACCCUUAUCCCAAGGUUCGACUACGAUGUUCCGGUAACUUUAAACCACGCCGGGUGUUGAAAAGGUGGCCAGUUUCAGAUGCAUUGAUGUGUAGUGAUGCAGUGGACAACUGUGAGGAUGAUACCUGUGAUGUUCCUAAACUGUGAUGCAGAAACACAAUGGGAGGAUCCAUCCGUCUCUGACCACAACUACACUUUAAAAUCACAACUCAACCUGAAGCAACCUACAUCUGAUAUGGGAAAACAAUGGUGCAGUUUCCCUGACAGGGCUUAUCCUGGUCCCAAGCUAAAAUGCAUAUUUGAGCUACAAUAAUUUAAAAACACCUUUUACUGACAUACCUCAACAUAUGAGUGCCAUUGUUUUGUCACAAGAUGCACACCAGUCUUGUUUUUUUGUAGGGUUUGUUUGUAAAAACUAAAAUGUCCUAAUAUAAUUAAAUCCUAGUCCUGUAAACCCUGUCCGAGAAACUGCUUCAAUGUGUUGAGCUGGCACAAAUGUACAUAUCUCUGCUGAGAAACAACCAUCUUUGUGUCAGCUUUACACAGGGUUGAUAUUGCAUCCAUUACACAGUCGCCAAGCACUUUACCAGUACAUACACCAACAGCUUCCAGAUAAACACUUGGGAUCAGCUCCUGAUGACUCCGAUAAAGCUGUGUCUUAAUUUAUUGCAGGGUGGUCUUGCUUUACCUGUUGUAAAGUUACAUUAAACCUUCAUAUGUGAUCAGAUGUCAUGCAGUGAUAUUAAACAUUUACAGUGUGAUCAGAUGUUGUGCAUUUAUAUUAAACCUUUACAAUGUGA